GACAGAGGGUGCAAACGUUGUUCGGAAUUACUGGGCGUAAAGCGCGUGUAGGCGGCUUAGUGUGUCGGAUGUGAAAUCCCACGGCUCAACCGUGGAAGUGCAUUCGAAACUGCUAAGCUGGAGUCUCGGAGAGGAAGGUGGAAUGCUUGGUGUAGAGGUGAAAUUCGUAGAUAUCAAGCGGAACACCGGUGGCGAAGGCGGCCUUCUGGACGAUGACUGACGCUGAGACGCGAAAGCGUGGGGAGCAAACAGG
rnacentral:rRNA from 1 species